rnacentral:rRNA from 1 species
UGGGGAAUAUUGGACAAUGGGCGCAAGCCUGAUCCAGCCAUACCGCGUGGGUGAAGAAGGCCUUCGGGUUGUAAAGCCCUUUUGUUGGGAAAGAAAUCCAGCCGGCUAAUACCUGGUUGGGAUGACGGUACCCAAAGAAUAAGCACCGGCUAACUUCGUGCCAGCAGCCGCGGUAAUACGAAGGGUGCAAGCGUUACUCGGAAUUACUGGGCGUAAAGCGUGCGUAGGUGGUCGUUUAAGUCCGUUGUGAAAGCCCUGGGCUCAACCUGGGAACUGCAGUGGAUACUGGGCGACUAGAGUGUGGUAGAGGGUAGCGGAAUUCCUGGUGUAGCAGUGAAAUGCGUAGAGAUCAGGAGGAACAUCCAUGGCGAAGGCAGCUACCUGGACCAACACUGACACUGAGGCACGAAAGCGUGGGGAGCAAACAGGAUUAGAUACCCUGGUAGUCCACGCCCUAAACGAUGCGAACUGGAUGUUGGGUGCAAUUUGGCACGCAGUAUCGAAGCUAACGCGUUAAGUUCGCCGCCUGGGGAGUACGGUCGCAAGACUGAAACUUAAAUGAAUUGACGGGGGUCAUAGCUGUUUCC